UACAGAGGUGGCAAGCGUUGUUCGGAAUUACUGGGCGUAAAGGGCGCGUAGGCGGCCAUCUAAGUCAGACGUGAAAUCCCCCGGCUUAACCUGGGAACUGCGUCUGAUACUGGACGGCUUGAGUAUGGGAGAGGGAUGUAGAAUUCCAGGUGUAGCGGUGAAAUGCGUAGAUAUCUGGAGGAAUACCGGUGGCGAAGGCGGCAUCCUGGACCAUUACUGACGCUGAGGCGCGAAAGCUAGGGGAGCAAACAGG
rnacentral:rRNA from 1 species